rnacentral:lncRNA from 1 species
CCUUAGUUGACUAACCGUUAGAAUGGUAAGCAUACAUGUCGAGUAUAAAAAUAUAACUCCUGCAUCGGCUGCAUGGGCGGUGGCUAGCUUGCAGAAAUGCAGCUCUCGUGUCGGUCAUGUGGAUCAAUAAAUCCUUAUGCGUGUCAGCAUAACUCGUCAAGCGACGACCACAAUACAUGAACUCUGAUAUCCAAGAAAUUUGUUUUGACGAAACACAUAUCCAAGAUAUAGAAUUGCCACGCGUAUCGUGCAGGAGUACCUGCGAACAGCGACACGAUGAGUAUAGAAACCACACAAUUCCCAGCCGGAGACUUGUCCGCUUUCGUAUGAGCGAAGCGAUUGUAAAUUACUCCGUACAGUACUAGUAUGUCUGAAGACUGAAUAAAGUAUACUCUGCGUAUACAGUUAUACACUAUACAGCCCUCCAGGGUCCAGGCCUUUAAGUAGUAGCCGGAGCCCACUUCCUAGCUCGCAAACCAGAAGCUCAGCAGCAACCAGCUUCAGCUUAGGCACUACAAUGGUUAGGGCGUUGGAUCUCUCCGUGGCUGCCAAAGGCUUCGCGGCCGGGGCCGUCUCCGCGCAGCACGCUGCGCCCGGUACCGUCGUGGGCUUUGUCUUCGUCUUCGUGGCUGCGGUUGCGAUCGUGGCCAUGGCCGCGUUCGGCUGCGCCGACGGCGCUAGCGGGCCUAAACGCCGCAGCCAUUGGGGCGGCGGUGGCGCGGGAGGCGGCGCCGGCUGCGGAGGUGGUGGAGGAGGUUGUGGCGGCGGAGGCGGUGGAGGAGGUUGUGGCGGCGGAGGCGGUGGCUGUUAAUUAAUUAAGGAUGCGCGUCUUAUGGGGGGGGACUACGAUGUACGAUCAAAACCGAGUUCUUGGCGUGUACAGAUGUACUGUGUAUUGCUGUGUUACGGGACUAUAUGUAUAUAUAUACACGUACUCUCCGUAAUAUUGCAACACUACUGUAGAUAUGGGAUCUCGUAUUGCCUAUACGUAUAUUUGUACUACUCAUGUACCAUUUGUGAUUGUUUUGCGUAAUUGCAGUUAGAAUAAAGGAAAGUUUGUGGAUCUUAAUAAAUGACAUUAUAUUUGACAUAAAAACAGCAUAUGUUUGCUAAACAAAAACUGAGUAACAUAUUUUUCCAUAGGAUUGGGUAAA